AUAGGACCUAAACAUCAUGUCAGCGACUUAAAUUUAUUAUGCCCCCCUUCGAAGAAGAGGGGGUAUAUUGCUUUGCUCAUGUCGGUCGGUCCGUCUGUCGGUCCGUCCACCAGGUGGUUGUCAGGCGAUAACUCAAGAACGCUUAGGCCUAGGAUCAUGAAACUUCAUAGGUACAUUGAUCAUGACUCUCAGAUGACCCCUAUUGAUUUUGAGGUCACUAGGUCAAAGGUCAAGGUCACUGUGACCCGAAAUAGUAAAAUGGUUUCCAGAUGAUAAUUCAAGAACGCUUAUGCCUAGGAUCAUGAAACUUGAUAGGUAGAUUGAUCAUGACUAGCAGAUGACCCAUAUUGAUUUUCAGGUCACUAGGUCAAAGGUCAAGGUCACGGUGACCCGAAAUAGUAAAAUGGUUUCCGGAUGAUAACUCAAGAACGCUUAUGCCUAGGAUCACGAAACUUGAUUGGUACAUUGAUCAUGACUGGCAGAUGACCCCUAUUGAUUUUGAGGUCACUAGGUCAAAGGUCAAUGUCACGGUGACCCGAAAUAGUAAAAUGGUUUCCGGAUGAUAACUCAAGAACGCUUAUGCCUAGGAUCAUGAAACUUGAUAGGUACAUUGAUCAUGACUCGCAGAUGACCCCUAUUGAUUUUCAGGUCACUAGGUCAAAGGUCAAGGUCACAGUGACAAAAAACAUA